GAUUAAGUUAUUAAGGGCGCACGGUGGAUGCCUUGGCACUAGAAGCCGAAGAAGGACGUUACUAACGACGAUAUGCUUUGGGGAGCUGUAAGUAAGCGUUGAUCCAGAGAUUUCCGAAUGGGGAAACCCAACAUGAGUUAUGUCAUGUUAUCGAUAUGUGAAUACAUAGCAUAUCAGAAGGCAGACCCGGAGAACUGAAACAUCUUAGUACCCGGAGGAAGAGAAAGAAAAAUCGAUUCCCUGAGUAGCGGCGAGCGAAACGGGAAGAGCCCAAACCAACAAGCUUGCUUGUUGGGGUUGUAGGACACUCUAUACGGAGUUACAAAAGUAUAUAUUAGACGAAUCAUCUGGAAAGUUGAAUCAAAGAAGGUAAUAAUCCUGUAGUCGAAAAUAUAUACUCUCUUGAGUGGAUCCUGAGUACGACGGAGCACGUGAAAUUCCGUCGGAAUCUGGGAGGACCAUCUCCUAAGGCUAAAUACUCUCUAGUGACCGAUAGUGAACCAGUACCGUGAGGGAAAGGUGAAAAGUACCCCGGAAGGGGAGUGAAAGAGAACUUGAAACCGUGUGCUUACAAGUAGUCAGAGCCCGUUAAUGGGUGAUGGCGUGCCUUUUGUAGAAUGAACCGGCGAGUUACGAUUUGAUGCAAGGUUAAGCAGUGAAUGUGGAGCCGUAGCGAAAGCGAGUCUGAAUAGGGCGUUGAGUAUUUGGUCGUAGACCCGAAACCAGGUGAUCUACCCUUGGUCAGGUUGAAGUUCAGGUAACACUGAAUGGAGGACCGAACCGACUUACGUUGAAAAGUGAGCGGAUGAACUGAGGGUAGCGGAGAAAUUCCAAUCGAACCUGGAGAUAGCUGGUUCUCUCCGAAAUAGCUUUAGGGCUAGCCUCAAGUGAUGAUUAUUGGAGGUAGAGCACUGUUUGGACGAGGGGCCCUUCUCGGGUUACCGAAUUCAGACAAACUCCGAAUGCCAAUCAAUUUAACUUGGGAGUCAGAACAUGGGUGAUAAGGUCCGUGUUCGAAAGGGAAACAGCCCAGACCACCAGCUAAGGUCCCAAAAUAUAUGUUAAGUGGAAAAGGAUGUGGCGUUGCCCAGACAACUAGGAUGUUGGCUUAGAAGCAGCCAUCAUUUAAAGAGUGCGUAAUAGCUCACUAGUCGAGUGACACUGCGCCGGAAAUGUACCGGGGCUAAACAUAUUACCGAAGCUGUGGAUUGUCCGUAGGACAAUGGUAGGAGAGCGUUCUAAGGGCGUUGAAGCAUGAUCGCAAGGACAUGUGGAGCGCUUAGAAGUGAGAAUGCCGGUGUGAGUAGCGAAAGACGGGUGAGAAUCCCGUCCACCGAUUGACUAAGGUUUCCAGAGGAAGGCUCGUCCGCUCUGGGUUAGUCGGGUCCUAAGCUGAGGCCGACAGGCGUAGGCGAUGGAUAACAGGUUGAUAUUCCUGUACCACCUAGUAUCGUUUUAAUCGAUGGGGGGACGCAGUAGGAUAGGCGAAGCGUGCUAUUGGAUUGCACGUCCAAGCAGUAAGACUGAGUGUUAGGCAAAUCCGGCACUCAUAAGGUCAAGCUGUGAUGGGGAGAGGAAAUUGUUUCCUCGAGUCGUUGAUUUCACACUGCCAAGAAAAGCCUCUAGAUAGAUAACAGGUGCCCGUACCGCAAACCGACACAGGUAGUCAAGAUGAGAAUUCUAAGGUGAGCGAGCGAACUCUCGUUAAGGAACUCGGCAAAAUGACCCCGUAACUUCGGGAGAAGGGGUGCUCUUUAGGGUUAACGCCCAGAAGAGCCGCAGUGAAUAGGCCCAAGCGACUGUUUAUCAAAAACACAGGUCUCUGCUAAACCGUAAGGUGAUGUAUAGGGGCUGACGCCUGCCCGGUGCUGGAAGGUUAAGAGGAGUAGUUAGCUUCUGCGAAGCUACGAAUCGAAGCCCCAGUAAACGGCGGCCGUAACUAUAACGGUCCUAAGGUAGCGAAAUUCCUUGUCGGGUAAGUUCCGACCCGCACGAAAGGCGUAACGAUUUGGGCACUGUCUCAACGAGAGACUCGGUGAAAUCAUAGUACCUGUGAAGAUGCAGGUUACCCGCGACAGGACGGAAAGACCCCGUGGAGCUUUACUGUAGCCUGAUAUUGAAAUUCGGCACAGCUUGUACAGGAUAGGUAGGAGCCUUUGAAACGUGAGCGCUAGCUUACGUGGAGGCAUUGGUGGGAUACUACCCUAGCUGUGUUGGCUUUCUAACCCGCACCACUUAUCGUGGUGGGAGACAGUGUCAGGUGGGCAGUUUGACUGGGGCGGUCGCCUCCUAAAAGGUAACGGAGGCGCUCAAAGGUUCCCUCAGAAUGGUUGGAAAUCAUUCAUAGAGUGUAAAGGCAUAAGGGAGCUUGACUGCGAGACUUACAAGUCGAGCAGGGUCGAAAGACGGACUUAGUGAUCCGGUGGUUCCGCAUGGAAGGGCCAUCGCUCAACGGAUAAAAGCUACCCCGGGGAUAACAGGCUUAUCUCCCCCAAGAGUUCACAUCGACGGGGAGGUUUGGCACCUCGAUGUCGGCUCAUCGCAUCCUGGGGCUGUAGUCGGUCCCAAGGGUUGGGCUGUUCGCCCAUUAAAGCGGUACGCGAGCUGGGUUCAGAACGUCGUGAGACAGUUCGGUCCCUAUCCGUCGUGGGCGUAGGAAAUUUGAGAGGAGCUGUCCUUAGUACGAGAGGACCGGGAUGGACAUACCUCUGGUGUACCAGUUGUCGUGCCAACGGCAUAGCUGGGUAGCUAUGUAUGGACGGGAUAAGUGCUGAAAGCAUCUAAGCAUGAAGCCCCCCUCAAGAUGAGAUUUCCCAACUUCGGUUAUAAGAUCCCUCAAAGAUGAUGAGGUUAAUAGGUUCGAGGUGGAAGCGUGGUGACACGUGGAGCUGACGAAUACUAAUCGAUCGAAGACUUAAUCAA
rnacentral:rRNA from 1 species